rnacentral:rRNA from 1 species
GAGUUUGAUCCUGGCUCAGGACGAACGCUGGCGGCGUGCCUAAUACAUGCAAGUCGAACGCACGAAGUUGAAGAGCUUGCUCUUUAACCAAGUGAGUGGCGGACGGGUGAGUAACACGUGGGUAACCCGCCCAUUAGAGGGGGAUAACAUUCGGAAACGGAUGCUAAUACCGCAUAGUUUCAGGAAUCGCAUGAUUCUUGAAGGAAAGGUGGCUUCGGCUACCACUAAUGGAUGGACCCGCGGCGUAUUAGCUAGUUGGUGAGGUAAUGGCUCACCAAGGCAAUGAUACGUAGCCGACCUG